rnacentral:lncRNA from 1 species
UUUCCUUUGAAGACCACCUGGCUACCAAUAACGGUCUCACCAGCCAAAUCCUGUAUUUGUGGGCCAAGACAGAAGAAGAACAACAAUGAAAAAAAGCUGGAAAUCUUAGAGCAGACUCACAUCUUAACUAGGAGAAUACGUGCUGGCCCAAGUGCCCCAGGACUGAAGCAAAUCAGACAUAGGGGAGGAGGGAGAAUGUUAGAAUGAGGCACACCUGAUUCAGCCGCUAAAUAGUCUGGUUGGCUAAGAAUCACAAUCGAGGCAUUUUGCCUUUCUAGUUUUCUUUGGUGAAGAUCUGUGAGCAUCCAAAUGAUAUGAAGAGCAAUAUGGCUAAUCUGCACUACUUCGGAAGCCUGGGAGGAAUACUUCCUCUUUGCUGGAUGUGGCGUCUGCGUGUACCAUCUGGAAUUGCUGUAGCCAACUUACAAAUACAGACGAAAGCUUUAUCAACCUGCUGAGCACAGCAGAAUGGAAAGAUGCAAAGCACCCUGCUCUUGGGAACUGGCCACCUUCAGACUUCUUGCUACAUCAGGUUUUAUCUACUACAAAGGAUAUCACUUGGGAAGGAAUUUCUUGAAACUGCUCCCAAGAGAGCCAUUGGACCAUGUGGUAAACAACUCCUAGCUGAUGGAUUAUUGGGAAUAUUAACAUCAUCCAGAAUGCUAUGGGGAGAAGACAACUGGAAGCUCCGUGUGGACAAACCUCCUGGACUCUGCCCCACAUAUCUCUUCCCUUGGCUGAUUUGAAUUUUUAGAAGCUGACAGCUGACACGCCCUUCCUUUGUGCAUUUUAUCCUGGGACAAAAUGAGAAGACAUCCUUCAGUUCCCCUCAUCAACAAGAAUUUACCAAGAAGAAUUCUCCAAUGCCAGUGAGAUUCUGAAAUCUCAUAGUUGUACUCAAUUAUAAAUUACUUAUUCACAUGAUCCAGGUUUUACAUGGGUUAAUUUUUUUAGAUAAUCAUCAGAAUGAAAACAUGACAUUUAAAAAAGCACAAAUAAGACUACAAAGAUUGUUACAUGUUCUCAGGAUCCCUGAGUCCAGGUUGAGAAAUGCUCUUUUAAAGACGCCCAGGCACAUGCAUUUUGGUUUAACAAUACUUGAUCUACUAAUAGUUCUCAUCAUGCAGUAAUUUAAGUAUUUGGUUGUAUUUUUGUAAGAAUUAAUAAAAUGUUAUA